UCCGGUUUGUCACCGGCAGUCUCCCAUGAGUCCCCAACUGAAUGCUGGCAACAUGGAACGGGGGUUGCGCUCGUUGCGGGACUUAACCCAACAUCUCACGACACGAGCUGACGACAGCCAUGCAGCACCUGUCUCCGGUCCAGCCGAACUGAAGGUUUCCAUCUCUGGAAACCGCGACCGGGAUGUCAAGGGCUGGUAAGGUUCUGCGCGUUGCGUCGAAUUAAACCACAUGCUCCACCGCUUGUGUGAGCCCCCGUCAAUUUCUUUGAGUUUUAGCCUUGCGACCGUACUCCCCAGGCGCAGGACUUAACGCGUUAGCUACGGGACGCAUCCCGUCGGGAUGCACCCCAAGUCCUGAUCGUUUACGGCGUGGACUAC
rnacentral:misc_RNA from 1 species